rnacentral:rRNA from 1 species
UACGUAGGGUGCAAGCGUUGUCCGGAAUUAUUGGGCGUAAAGAGCUCGUAGGCGGCCUGUCGCGUCGGCUGUGAAAACUCAGGGCUCAACCCUGAGCCUGCAGUCGAUACGGGCAGGCUAGAGUCCGGCAGGGGAGACUGGAAUUCCUGGUGUAGCGGUGAAAUGCGCGGAUAUCAGGAGGAACACCGGUGGCGAAGGCGGGUCUCUGGGCCGGAACUGACGCUGAGGAGCGAAAGCGUGGGGAGCGAACAGG